rnacentral:rRNA from 1 species
GACGAACGCUGGCGGCGUGCUUAACACAUGCAAGUCGAACGGUAAGGCCCUUCGGGGUACACGAGCGGCGAACGGGUGAGUAACACGUGGGUGAUCUGCCCUGCACUUCGGGAUAAGCCUGGGAAACUGGGUCUAAUACCGGAUAGGACUCCGGACUGCAUGGUCUGGGGUGGAAAGCUUUUGCGGUGUGGGAUGGGCCCGCGGCCUAUCAGCUUGUUGGUGGGGUGAUGGCCUAGCAAGGCGACGACGGGUAGCCGGCCUGUGAGGGUGACCGGCCACACUGGGACGGAGAUACGGCCCAGACUCCUACGGGAGGCAGAAGUGGGGAAUAUUGCACAAUGGGCGCAAGCCUGAUGCAGCGACGCCGCGUGAGGGAUGACGGCCUUCGGGUUGUAAACCUCUUUCAGCAUCGACGAAGCGAAAGUGACGGUAGGUGCAGAAGAAGGACCGGCCAACUACGUGCCAGCAGCCGCCGCCG